AUGGAAAUUGGUAAUCUUGUUGGUACCCCCACAGAGGAGAUGAUACCACAAAUCCAGGAUCUGUAUAUGUUGCCUCUUGACCAUAACCCUCCGCCAUAGUCAUGCAUAAGGUAUCCACUGUAAAUGGCUGCUCCCAAAAAUUGUGAAGUUCAUCUAAGUUUUCGGAUGGAUGAUCAUAAUUACUCACUUUUGAGCUCUGGAUCUUGUAAAUUUCUUCAUAAUUAGCAGAAACAUAGCUGGUUGAUGAAGAACAAUUAUCAGCAGAAAGUUGUGGGGAAGGGGAAGUGCACCCAGUAAGGACUUUUGGUGGUUCUCUAGAGUUAUUGGGAAUAAUAGGUAUGGGAUCAGCUAUUAAUAUUUCUGGUGGAUUCUGAUUCUGCUUGUUGGCUUCAUCAAAUUCAAAUAUGGCUGCAGUUUGAGUUUCUUGCAAAGACUUAGUAACGGACGGCACCUGCUGCUGGUUGUUCUUAGUUAAGCGUUUCUUACUCAAGCGACUGUGCCAGUGAUUUUUGAUCUCGUUGUCUGUUCUUCCAGGCAGCCUUGAUGCAAUAGCAGACCAUCUGGUGACGUGAAUUCAUACACAUAUUAGUUAGUUAAUGUGUAAAUUUUACAGAAGCAUUAAUCUAAUCGGCAAUAGAUAGUUGAUUCUCAGCUGAUAGCUAGAUUCCCAUCUUUUUGGCAGCUCCGGCGCGUUACGCAUUAAUAUAAAUUAUGAGACCAGAUUUUACACAAAUUUAAUGUGUAAAUUUUACAGAAGCACUAUGCAUUAGUACAUGGAUCCAUAUAUCUGCAUAAACAACCUCUAAAAUAGUGAGGAGUUGACACACAUUAAUUAAGAGACCAGAUCAUACUGGAGUUUGAGAUAGGAUCGGCAUUGCUAGAUCAAUAAUUUCCUGGAAAUUUACAAAAACCCUAAAUAUAAUUGCAGGAUGUUUUUGUCACUUCACAUAACAAAUAUUAUAGUCAAUGGAAUAAUAAACUUACGUGGUGCAGCUAAUUAAUUACCUUGUUCAAGUAAGAACUCUCCGCUAACUUUAGCAACAAUAAAUAUAAUAAUUACAGAUUAAAGAGACUGUCGCACAUGGUUGAGAAUGGUUCGAGGACUAAUUAUUAAGAAUACACUUAAAACAACCUUCAACUCCCUUGAUCUAAGUAUUGAGUAUAAGUUAGGCCAUUGAGCUUCAAUAUGAUAUAUAUCAUAUUGAAAGCUAAGAGAAGAGAAGCUAGUCACAAAGAAAGAUCAUGUUUAGGUAUAGAUGUUAUGUACUUGCUACGUACCGAGUUAAGCUAAAAUUUCAAAUCACUUACCGAUUUCCAAGUUGUUCAUGCAGCUUGAUUAUGGUUUCAUCUUCUUCCUGAGUGAAGUUUCCGCGCCUAAUAUCUGGCCUGAGAUAAUUCAUCCAACGAAGUCGACAACUCUUCCCACAUCUCAACAAACCUACAAGAACAAAACGGAGACGGAGGUUGAUUAGCUAGCGAGCCAUCUAAUUAUUCAUAUAUUCUCUCAUUUCAUGAUAAAAAUUAUUGAGGUUCUCGCCUUUUUUUUUUUUUUUUUUUUUGCUUUUUUCCUCCUCCUUUGUUGUUCCUAGAUCUUUAUGUUUAUAUAUGUAUAUACCAGCAUAUUUUGGCAUCUCACUCCAGUUCCAAAUGCCGUAUCUCCUAAUAUAAGCUAUCAAUUUCCAAUCUUCUUCAGGAGUCCAUGAUCCUUUUUUCAAAGAUGGUUUCUCACUGCCUCCAGCCUUCACCAUCUUUCCUCUUUAGUGAAGAUCUAACUCACUUCCAGCAAUUUUUUUUUUCCCCUCAAAGCAGUUCAUGGGGCUCGGAUAUAUAUAUAUAUAGAGAAAUUUUAUUUUUAAUUUUAAAUGUCUAACUUCUUCAAUGACGACAAAGCACACGUAUUCUCAGCAGAUAUGGCCCAUCCUAAAGUAUAGAUUAAUACAUGAUAGAUGCCAUUAUCCUGCUUAUUUGGAUUUUAUAUAUUACAAAUUUCCUCAGAUCAACUUUGACAAGUAAACUCACAAUAGAGGCAUUCGGAAGAGGGGAAAAAAGGAAUUUUGAUUUAUAUAGAAAAAAAUAUAAUUACUUUCUAGAUCCUAGUAGAAUCCAUAAAAGCCCUUGAGACUUCAUUGUUUAGUGCUUACCAUAUCAGUCACCCUUUGUUUUUUUUAGGUGUUUUUUUAAUGUUUUUUCUUCACUUAUUAUUUAAUAAAAGUGAUUAUUUUGACUUAAUUAUCCUUAGCGAAAAUGAUAAAAAUGAUAUAGAGGUAAAGUAUAUAUUACAUUAAUAAUUAAUCAAUGAAGCAUGCUAAAUCUAAUAUAUAGAGAUUGAUAAAAAGAGAUACAUAUAUAGAGUAUUAGGAUAGAGAGGUUCCCUUAUAAUAGAGUUUUCAAAUUUCUCUCAAGAAUAUCUCUAAAUCAAUAUUAAAAAAUAAUCUAUUAAUACAAUUUUAUAGUUAAGCUACUCUUGACCUCUAAAAUUCAAUUUUAGAAAAGCAAUCGGUCAUUUUAAAUUAGAGUUAAAGACUUAUUUUAUCAAAAACAUAUUUUUUUCCCUCUUUUAAACGCACAAGCAUUCACACACACAAAAAAAAAAAAAUAGACAUAUACUUUAGCAGAUCCGAUCAAAUUAAGUUCCUAAGUCCGCCCAUGAAAAGCUUUGGCAUUCACUCACCACGUCAUUAGAUAGAUUGUACACAAGUUGACAAACAAAUUGGAGCAAUAGCAUAUACAUAUCACCCUGAGGCUGAGCUAAAGUCUAAGCAAACAAGACAGAUGAACUCGUAGAAAUAGGGCAACAAGAGCCACUUCCUAAGUGAACCAAAAAACAUUACAAAUCUAGCACAUCCAACGCUCUUCUAAAGGGACCAUCGGAAUCUGUUGUAAAAUUCUUUCUAAAAAACCAAAUAGACAUGAAGGAAAAGAAAAUUGGAAGAUACAUUUGUCUCUGAAUUUUUAAAAGACAAUUGUGACUUGAUAAUUCGCAAGUUGAGAUAGAUGCUUAUCAGAAGCUACUAUGGUAUUGGUUUUAGUAUUUUUUUGGUCGGCAAUAAUUUCCUUCGUUCAAUUUCCAACCAAAAAGUUGUAAUGACUAAACCGAGUACUGCUGAAGCUUCGAGCGGGGAGAUUGGUCUACAUUCUCUACAUGAUCAAAUUUGGAAUCCAACUCAAGGUCAGCUUCAUAAGCGUGUGUUCAACUAUUUCAUUAGUUUAGAAGUCGUUAACUAAUCAUAAUUAACUCUACCAAGGACUCCGUCAACAUGAUUAUUGAUUCAUUAAAAUUUAAUUUUACCCACAUGUUAACAUACUGCAAGGAUGGCUGGCAUGGUGCCUGGUGGUGACGUAGGGUCACCUUAGGUCAGCAGCUUCGUACUGCGUGAACAUAAUUAAUUUGGAGAAAAAAAAAAUCAAGUCAUUUUUUUAUAAGCAAGUUGCUAAAUAAAAAAGGAUUAAGACCUUAAUCCAAUAUAAUGAAAUUGGAAGAAUAAUUUUUUCUUUUAAAAAGACAAGCUGGCAACUUCAUUUUCUGAAGGGGUGGCAGACUGGGUGACUUCCGCGCUAGAUUUUCACUGUGUAUAUAGGAAGAUCAAAUUUUUGUCUGACGGACGUCUAUAAUUAAUUAAGAACAAAUUAAAGAAGAUCGAUAGAAACUUCGAUUUAUCAUUAACUUUUAUCAAAUCAUUCACACUUGAGUGAAGUUGUUUAUGACUAUUGGUGACUGUCACUUGAAUUAUAUUGUGGAUCUACUAGUAAGUUUCCACGAAGAUGAAAAUAACAUUUUGAAGACCGCGUAGUAACGACAGGACGAGCGUUUAUCACAUGCUUAUAUUCAAUGCCAUGGCAACAAAUUUUCUAGUAAGCUUGGGUAGAAAGAAAGCUCUAGUCAAAGUUCAACCCCUCGUGAUUGAAAUACUAGCUCCAUUAUUUGGCUUAGAAAACUAAGUGAACCUAGUAUUCGUUCAUGCAUACCAUGAAGAAUUAAAUAUUUUUGGUUCGAAUUUUAUCAAGGCUUGUUUGGUGAUGGAAAGUGACUGUUUUUGUUUUCAUUGUUAAUGACAAGUUGAAAGUACAUUGAGGUGGCUAGAAAUGUAUUAAUUUCUCCUGAAUGUAAUAUGCGAAAGGGUAUUGCAGGUAAAUGCGACAUUAAUAGAUCUUAUUAAAGUUUGGCUUAAUAUUGGAAUGCACGAUCCCCGUUCCUGCAAAGACCAAUCACUUUAUGAUUGGGACCAUCGAUUGAUCCGUCUGUUCGUAGCAGUGAAACUUAUGAUGUCUAUUAGCAAUUUCUACAAUAGCAUGAGAAUUCCGGAGGAAAAUUGCAUUUCCAUGAUUGCUUUUCAAUUCACUCCGAAACUCAUAGUAGAAUUUGACUUUAAUUUGUCCAUGAACCCGACCACCCUCUUCUAGGACUUUAUCCACCCCUUUUUUUUUUUUUUUUUUUUUUUUUUGUCUUAAUUCAUAACCUCAUCUGCCCCAAGAUCAAAAGGUUCUAUAAUUUUGAUUGUGCUUUAAAGAAUAUAUAUAUAUAUAUAUUUUUGAUAAGUUACGAUAAAAAAUCAAUUGAAACUCUCUUCAAUAAUUCUAUUAUGACAUAAACAGAAGUUGGACUCUUAGUUAAUAUCAAAAGAAUAUUUAAUUUACGCCCAAUGAUGGAGGGAUGAGUAGAUCCCUACCCAAUUUUAUUGGGAGGGGAACCGAGUCAUGACGAUAAAGCACUGAAGAAGCUCACGUGUCAUGACGAUAAAUGAAUAAUCCCAAACCAAUAUCAGAGACAAAUAGAAAACUAAAAAGUUGAAGGCUUAUCAUCAUAAACAAAAAAUACAUGCGUGUGAAUGCAAACAAAUCAAUCUAUAUACAACUAUUCAACAGAAACUUUCAGGAAACUACGUUUUGUUCCAAAAUGGAAUACAUAUUUAGGUUUCAAAUCAACUAGGAAGAAUGGAGCGUUGCUGAAACUUUUGGCAAACAACUACAGGUAAAGGUUGAAAAGGGGUGGUAAAAAAAACCCCACCUUAAUAAAUACAAUUAAUAUUAUUAUAUUAAUAGAGAAUUAAUAAUAUUAUUAUAUACCAGUAAAAUUAAAAUUAAUAAAAAAAUUGUGAUGUGCAUAAUUAAGAAUAUUAAUAAUUAUUAUAAAUUUACAAAUAUAAUAAAAUAUAUUUUUAUUCAUCAAAUAUAUUUUUUUAUUAAUUUUGUGUAAUUAAAAACUAUAAUAAUAAAAUAAAUGUUUAUUAAUUAAUAAAUGUAAUUAAAAAAAAUAUAAUAAAAUAAAUAUUUAUUCAUCGAUAUAUUUUUUAAUUAACUUUGUAAUUAAAAAUUAUAAUUAUUUAAAUAUGGGUAAAAUUAUAAUUUGAAACUAUUUACUUCUAAUUUAAGACAAAGUAAACACAUAAAUUGAAUUCUGAUCUCCAUUCCACGCUUCCAUUAUAGUAUAAGUAAAUAACACACUCUUAUUCCCACUCUACACUCCCAAUCCUAGGAUUCCCAUUCCUCAAGAUUCCACUCCAAUCCAAAAUAUAAAUGUUACCUUAAUUUAUCAACAAGACCUAUAAAACUAUUACUUGAAAAGUUAGCUUAAAAGGUGAGAUUUGUCUUAAACUUAUAUAUUUAUCUUGAGAUUUAUUGUCAACCAAUGUGAGAUUUUUCCCUUAGCACCCUCAUCACGUGUAAAUUGAUAUUUUUACCUAGUUCUUGUUACGAGGAAAAAUAGUGUGGGCCAACAUAAAAGUGAAUUUAGUUUUAAUAUUAUAUAAAAACUCAUUACAUUAAAUUGAAAGUUAUCUCAAACUUAUAUAAUAGUGUAACACUCAUUAAUUCAUUCUCAACUAAUGUUGAGACAUUUUCUAUAUUAUCAAGUCCAACAUAGGGGAUCCCACUAACAAAAUAGAGACCUUCUCAGUUUAUUAAUACAAUCUAAAUUUUUUAAAAAGAUGAAAGAAACAAGAAUGGCAUUCUCUUUUCUACUUUUUUACUCUAGGUUCGGUUAAUUUGUAUAUGUAUGAUAUUAAAAAGAAAGAAUGUAAAAAGGAAGUAGCUAAUUUACAACUUUAAUAGUCGGUCAAACCUGUUUGUGCGGGUUAGGCUCCCUCGUUUUGUUGUUCUAGCAUCUGUUAAAAAAAAAACAAAGACAUUCACUUUCAUAUUAAUUAAUUUUGUGAAAAUAUUCAUUGAUUUUCUUGACAAAUUUAUUUUCGUAAGUAAUUAAUUACAGUCUACGUAGCUGCGGAAAAUUUAUGCAGAUUUUAUUUUCGAAAUUGCUAGUUUGACAUAAACUCUUCUUAGUUGCAUUAAUGUAUUUGUUGAAAAUGCUGCUUCAGAUUUCCAAAUCCUCAUCCACAUUGUUUCCAUUGCUGCUUUUAUUAGUUAUUAUUGUAUAUUUGGUUUGAACAAAUGAAAGGUGAGGAAAUGAAAAGACGGGAGGGGAGGGGAGGAAAAAGAAAACAAAACAAUAAAAUUAAAAUCCUAUUUUAUUCUCAUUUUUUUCUCUCUGAUUCUCCUCUCCCAACAAAAGCCCAAAAAAAUCAUCAUACGCUUGUUGUACAUGGCCUAACAUCUUACACAAUUUAUAUCCAAAUUGAAAAUGACCUUGAUAACUAUUCGAAAAUUGUCUAAAAUUUAUAUUAUUUGUCUAUCAAUUAUUGGCCACAUAGAAUUAUUCUCCUAAUAAUUAUGCGUAAGAUGCAGUAAACAUGAUAAAAAACAAAACAUUAGAUUGACUUAUAAAAAAAGAACGCUAGAUAAACUUCUAGUAUUCCGAAAAAUGAUAUUGAGCCACCAAAAAGACACCACCAAAUAAAAAUAAUAGCAUAUUGUGGCACUGUAAUAUGAUCAAAAACCUUAUUUUUAUCAUAAGUGUCUUCCUAAUGUUCAAGUACAUUGAUUGUGCGGACUUUGGCACUUUCACAGGUGACGUCGUCUCGGGCGAAUCUAAUCUUCUGUCUCUAGCAUCAACCAAUUGGAAAUUUGGAAUAAAAUAUAUAGGCAGUGAACUAAAAAAAAAAAAAAAAAAACUCGUUAGAGUGGUCUUGGGCUUAAUCAAUCUAAUUGAGACUUAAGAUCUUCAAACUGUAACUAUUGAGGAACAUAAGGUUUGGUCUUUUAUCCAAGCCAUGUACGAUGGUGAUACGCUCGAGCAAACACUUUAUUUAGAUAGACUUGAUACAAUAAUCAGAACAAGCGAUCGAUGAACUUAGCAUCCAAUAUGCAACAGUAUACAUAUAUUGCUUUCAACACAUAUAACAUUAUAUGUAUGAAGUGCAAAUUAACAGAAAAAGCCAAUAUUAAUGGACUUGGACACCAUAUUAAUUUCCUUGCAUCAGAAACAGACCCAUAAAUCAUCGUCAGCAUCAUAAGAGGAAGCACUGGAAGCAGAUGGAAAUUGGUAAUCUUGUUGGUACUCCCACAGAGGAGUUGAUACCACAAAUCCAGGAUCUGUAUGUGUUGCCUCUUGACCAUAACCCUCUGCCAUAGUCAUGCACAAGGUAUCCACUGUAAAUGGCUGCUCCCAAAAAUUGUGAAGUUCAUCUAAGUUUUCGGAUGGAUGAUCAUAAUUAUUCACUUCUGAGAUCUGGAUCGUGU
rnacentral:lncRNA from 1 species